rnacentral:rRNA from 1 species
CAGCAGUAGCCGCGGUAAAACGAAGGGUGCAAGCGUUAAUCGGAAUUACUGGGCGUAAAGCGUGCGUAGGCGGUGAGUUAAGUCUGCUGUGAAAUCCCCGGGCUCAACCUGGGAAUGGCAGUGGAUACUGGCUCGCUAGAGUGUGUCAGAGGAUGGUGGAAUUCCCGGUGUAGCGGUGAAAUGCGUAGAGAUCGGGAGGAACAUCAGUGGCGAAGGCGGCCAUCUGGGACAACACUGACGCUGAGGCACGAAAGCGUGGGGAGCAAACAGGAUUAGAUACCCCCGUAGUCCCUGUCUCUUAUAC